UGGGUUAGUGGCGGACGGGUGAGUAACGCGUGGGUAACCUGCCUUACACAGGGGGAUAACACUUAGAAAUAGGUGCUAAAACCGCAUAAGCGCACAGCUUCGCAUGAAGCGGUGUGAAAAACUCCGGUGGUGUAAGAUGGACCCGCGUCUGAUUAGCUUGUUGGCGGGGUAACGGCCCACCAAGGCGACGAUCAGUAGCCGGCCUGAGGGGGCGGACGGCCACAUUGGGACUGAGACACGGCCCAGACUCCUACGGAAGGCAGCAG
rnacentral:rRNA from 1 species